rnacentral:rRNA from 1 species
GACGAACGCUGGCGGCGUGCCUAAUACAUGCAAGUCGAGCGCAGGAAGCCGUCUGAACCCUUCGGGGGGACGACGGUGGAAUGAGCGGCGGACGGGUGAGUAACACGUAAAGAACCUGCCCAUAGGUCUGGGAUAACCACGAGAAAUCGGGGCUAAUACCGGAUGUGUCAUCGGACCGCGUGGUCCGCUGAUGAAAGGCGCUCCGGCGUCGCCCAUGGAUGGCUUUGCGGUGCAUUAGCUAGUUGGUGGGGUAACGGCCCACCAAGGCGACGAUGCAUAGCCGGCCUGAGAGGGUGAUCGGCCACACUGGGACUGAGACACGGCCCAGACUCCUACGGGAGGCAGCAGUAGGGAAUCUUCCACAAUGGACGAAAGUCUGAUGGAGCAACGCCGCGUGAACGAUGAAGGCUUUCGGGUCGUAAAGUUCUGUUGUAAGGGAAGAACAAGUGCCGCAGGCAAUGGCGGCACCUUGACGGUACCUUGCGAGAAAGCCACGGCUAACUACGUGCCAGCCGCCGCUGUAA